rnacentral:rRNA from 1 species
AGUUUGAUUCUGGCUCAGGAUGAACGCUGGCGGCGUGCUUAACACAUGCAAGUCGAACGGGAAUUACUUUAUUGAAACUUCGGUCGAUUUAAUUUAAUUCUAGUGGCGGACGGGUGGGUAACGCAUGGGUAACCUGCCUUAUACAGGGGGAUAACAGUCAGAAAUGGUUGCUAAUACCGCAUAAGCGCACAGAGCUGCAUGGCUCAAUGUGAAAAACUCUGGUGGUAUAACAUGGACCCGCGUUGGAUUAGCUAGUUGGUGGGGUAACGGCCCACCAAGGAGACGAUCCAUAGCCGGCCUGAGAGGGUGAACGGCCACAUUGGGACUGAGACACGGCCCAGACUCCUACGGGAGGCAGCUGUGGGGAAUAUUGCACACCGGGCGGAAACCGUGAUGCAGCGACGCCGCUAGAAGGAAGAAGUAUCUCGGUAUGUAAAUUUCUAUCAGCAGGGAAGAUAGUGACGGUACUUGACUAAGAAGCCCCUGCUAAAUACGUGCCAGCAGCCCGCGGUAAUAUGUAGGGGGCAAGCGUUAUUUGGAUUUACUGGGUGUAAAGGGAGCGUAGACGGUGUGGCAAGUCUGAUGUGAAAGAGCAUGGGCUCAACCCCUGGACUGCAUUGGAAACUGUCAUACUUGAGUGCCGGAGGGGUAAGCGGAAUUCCUAGUGUAGCGGUGAAAUGCGUAGAUAUUAGGAGGAACACCAGUGGCGAAGGCGGCUUACUGGCCGGUAAUUGACGUUGAGGCUGGAAAGACGUGGGGAGCAAACAGGAUUAGAUACCCUGGUAGUCCUCCCCGUAAACGACGAAUACUAGGUGUGGGGGAGCAUGGCUCUUCGGUGCCGUCGCAAACGCAGUAAGUAUUCCACAUGGGGAGACGUUCGCAAGAAGAAACUCAAAGGAAUUGACGGGGAGCCGCACAAGCGGUGGAGCAUGUGGUGUAAUUCGAAGCAACGCGAAGAACCUCACCAAAUCUUGACAUCCCUCUGACCGGUCUUUAAUCGGACGUUCUCUUCUGAGCAGAGGAGACAGGUGGUGCAUGGUUGUCGUCAGCUCGUGUCGUGAGAUGUAGGGUUAAGUCCCGCAACGAGCGCAACCCCUAUCCUCAGUAGCCAGCAUCUAAGGUGGGCACUCUGGGGAGACUGCCAGGGAUAACCCGGAGGAAGGCGGGGAUGACGUCAAAUCAUCCUGCCCCCUAUGAUUUGGGCUACACACGUGCUACAAUGGCGUAAACAAAGGGAAGCGAGAUUGUGAGAUGGAGCAAAUCCCAAAAAUAACGUCCCAGUUCGGACUGUAGUCUGCAACCCGACUACACGAAGCUGGAAUCGUUAGUAAUCGCGGAUCAGAAUGCCGCGGUGAAUAAGAUCCCGGGUCUUGCACA